rnacentral:rRNA from 1 species
UUUUAUAUGAGAGUUUGAUCCUGGCUCAGGACGAACGCUGGCGGCAUGCCUAAUACAUGCAAGUCGAACGCACGAAGUUGAAAA